GACGAACGCUGGCGGCGUGCUUAACACAUGCAAGUCGAACGGAAAGGCCCUGCUUUUGUGGGGUGCUCGAGUGGCGAACGGGUGAGUAACACGUGAGUAACCUGCCCUUGACUUUGGGAUAACUUCAGGAAACUGGGGCUAAUACCGGAUAGGAGCUCCUGCUGCAUGGUGGGGGUUGGAAAGUUUCGGCGGUUGGGGAUGGACUCGCGGCCUAUCAGCUUGUUGGUGGGGUAGUGGCUUACCAAGGCUUUGACGGGUAGCCGGCCUGAGAGGGUGACCGGCCACAUUGGGACUGAGAUACGGCCCAGACUCCUACGGGAGGCAGCAGUGGGGAAUAUUGCACAAUGGGCGGAAGCCUGAUGCAGCAACGCCGCGUGCGGGAUGACGGCCUUCGGGUUGUAAACCGCUUUCGCCUGUGACGAAGCGUGAGUGACGGUAAUGGGUAAAGAAGCACCGGCUAACUACGU
rnacentral:rRNA from 1 species